CGGGCCCGCACAAGCAGCGGAGCGUGUGGUUUAAUUCGAUGUUACACGAAGAACCUCACCAGGGUUUGACAUGCAAGUGGUAGGAAGCCGAAAGGUGACCGACCCUUCGGGGAGCUUGCACAGGUGCUGCAUGGCUGUCGUCAGCUCGUGUCGUGAGAUGUUCGGUUAAGUCCGCUAACGAGCGCAACCCUCGCUGUGUGUUAUAUGUGUCACACGGGACUGCCGGUCUUAAGCCGGAGGAAGGUGGGGAUGAUGUCAAGUCAGCAUGGCCUUUAUAUCCUGGGCUACACACACGCUACAAUGGCCAACACAAUAGGUUGCUAAGCCGCGAGGUGGCGCCAAUCCAUAAAGUUGGUCUCAGUUCAGAUUGUAGGCUGCAACCCGCCUGCAUGAAGAUGGAGUUGCUAGUAACCGCAGGUCAGCUAUACUGCGGUGAAUACGUUCCCGGGGCUU
rnacentral:rRNA from 1 species